GGGGGGCUCAGUGGUAGAGCGUUCGCUUCGCAUGUGAAGGGCCCCGGGUUCGAACCCCGGCACCUCCA
rnacentral:tRNA from 1 species